AUUGAACGCUGGCGGCAUGCCUAACACAUGCAAGUCGAACGGGGGCAGCAAUGCCCUAGUGGCGGACGGGUGAGGAAUACGUAGGAACCGGCCCACGAGUGGGGGACAACCUGGGGAAACCCAGGCUAAUACCGCAUACGCUCGCGAGAGGAAAGCGGGGGGACCUUCGGGCCUCGCGCUGGUGGACGGGCCUACGUCCGAUUAGCUAGUUGGUGGGGUAAAAGCCUACCAAGGCGACGAUCGGUAGCUGGUCUGAGAGGAUGAUCAGCCACACUGGGACUGAGACACGGCCCAGACUCCUACGGGAGGCAGCAGUGGGGAAUAUUGGACAAUGGGCGCAAGCCUGAUCCAGCAAUGCCGCGUGGGUGAAGAAGGCCUGCGGGUUGUAAAGCCCUUUAAGCGGGGAGGAAAGCCGGGGUGUAAAUAGCGCCCUGGGGUGACGUUACCCGCAGAAUAAGCACCGGCUAACUCCGUGCCAGCAGCCGCGGUAAU
rnacentral:rRNA from 1 species